GACGAACCGAGCGAACGUUGUUCGGAAUCACUGGGCUUAAAGGGCGCGUAGGCGGGUGCUCAAGUCUGUGGUGAAAUCCUCCGGCUCAACCGGAGAACUGCCUCGGAUACUGGGUGUCUCGAGGGUGGUAGGGGUAUGCGGAACUAUCGGUGGAGCGGUGAAAUGCGUUGAUAUCGAUAGGAACUCCGGUGGCGAAGGCGGCAUACUGGACCACUUCUGACGCUGAGGCGCGAAAGCCAGGGGAGCAAACGGG
rnacentral:rRNA from 1 species